rnacentral:rRNA from 1 species
CACCCAUCUCAAGCCGUUUCCAAUAAAAACGCGCUACCUCCAUGUCCCCGCACCACACCACCUCCAUCUCCAUGGACACCUCCACCCUUGCCGCCGUCGCUUCCUUCGUCGCCUUCUCCACGAAGCCCCGCCUCCUCCCGCCACUCAACCCCUCUCGCACCCUUCCACGCACCCGCGGCUCCCUUGCCGUCUGUUGCUCUCACUCCCACGCCUCUCCUCCGCCCUCGCCCCUCCCGUGCACUGCGUCCGAUGAGGAGGAGGUCGCUCCUCCGCGCCUCCGCCUCCGCCUACUCGCCGAGGAGUUCGGCGCUCUUCCGGACGCCGACCGCGCGCGCCGCCUGCUCGCGUACGCGGCCGCGCUCCCGCGGCUGCCCCAGGCGGACCGCGUCGCGGCCAACCGCGUCAUGGGGUGCGUCGCGCAGGUCUGGCUCCUGGGCAGCUGCGACCGCUCGGGACGCAUGCGGUUCGCGGCCGACUCCGACUCCGAGCUCUCGCGCGGGUACUGUUCCUGCCUCGUCUCCGCGCUCGACGGCGCGGGCCCCGAGGAGGUGCUCGACGUGGACCCCGCCGAUCUCGCGCCGCUCGGUGUGGCCGCGGGGGCGCGGUCCCGGGUCAAUACGUGGCACAACGUGCUCGUCGGCAUGCAGAAGCGGGCGCGGGCAGCCAUUGCGGCGCGCGAGGGCAGGCGUCCUGGGGAGCCGUUCCCGUCGCUCGUGAUCGGCCGGGACGGCGCCGUCCGCGCGCAAGGAAGCUACGCCGAGGCCAAGGCGAAGUUUUUAUCUCCUGACCAGUCCAAGAUUUCCGAGCUUGUGAAUGCCCUCAGAGAGAAACAAAUUGGAAUUGUGGCCCAUUUCUACAUGGAUCCUGAGGUGCAAGGCAUACUAACUGCUGCAAAGAGGCAAUGGCCCCACAUUCACAUAUCCGACUCAUUGGUAAUGGCAGAUAGUGCUGUUCAGAUGGCUGAAUCAGGAUGCAAAUAUAUCGCUGUGCUAGGUGUUGACUUCAUGUCAGAAAAUGUCCGUGCAAUACUUGAUCAAGCAGGAUUUACUCAGGUUGGUGUUUAUAGAAUGUCCAGCGAGCAAAUUGGUUGUUCCUUGGCAGAUGCUGCUUCAAGUUCUGCUUAUACACAUUUUCUUAAGACGGCAUCAAGAUCUCCUCCUUCUUUACAUGUCAUUUAUAUCAAUACCUCACUGGAAACAAAAGCUCAUACUCAUGAACUUGUUCCUACGAUAACCUGUACCUCUUCCAAUGUUGUUGCAACUAUACUACAGGCAUUUGCCGAAAUACCAGAUCUUAAUGUCUGGUAUGGUCCUGAUUCCUAUAUGGGUGCGAACAUAGCAGACCUAUUUAAGAGAAUGACUAUCAUGUCAGAUGAAGAGAUUACAGAGAUACAUCCAGAUCACAACAGGAAAACUAUAAGUUCAUUAUUACAACGUCUUCAUUACUAUCAGAAUGGUAACUGUAUUGUGCAUGAUAUGUUUGGCCAUGAAGUUGUGGAGAAAAUAAAGGAGGAAUACUGUGAUGCAUUUCUAACUGCACACUUUGAAGUCCCAGGAGAAAUGUUCUCUUUGUCAAUGGAAGCAAAGACGAGGGGAAUGGGAGUAGUUGGAUCCACUCAGAAUAUCUUAGAUUUCAUUAAAUACCAUUUGAAGCAAGCUCUGGAUCGGAAUGUUGAUGAUCAUCUUCAGUUUGUAUUGGGAACAGAAUCAGGAAUGAUCACUUCGAUUGUUGCUGCUGUCCGGCAAUUAUUUGACUCCUAUGAAUCUUCCAAAGAAGGUGCUAGCAUUGAAGUAGAAAUUGUGUUCCCUGUUUCGUCAGACGCAAUUUCUAAGACAUCUAUUGAUGAUUCCCAUCAUUUCGGCUCUUCAGUAGCGAAUGAUUUAGAACAGAUUAAUAUUGUGCCUGGUGUGUUUUCUGGUGAAGGGUGCUCUAUCCAUGGUGGCUGUGCAUCAUGCCCUUACAUGAAGAUGAAUUCUCUUGAGUCGCUACUUAAAAUCUGCCAGCAGCUUCCUGGUGAAGACAACAGUUUAUCUGUUUAUCAGGCUAGUCGAUUGAAUGCUAAGACUUCCCUUGGGAAAUUGGUUGCGGAGGUUGGGUGUGAGCCAAUUUUGCAUAUGAGGCAUUUCCAGGCGACAAAGAGAUUACCAGACAAGCUCGUUCACCAGGUUAUCCAUGGUAACGGAGGGGAACCUUUAUGAUGGCCGUUCCUCAGAAUCUUCCCUGUCAACUUUAUUCAGGGUGCAGUAUCCGGCUUUGCACCAAGUGUUGUUAUCCCGUUACUGAUAAUUACCGGUGGAGUGACAUUCACAGAGUCUGCAAUGGGUAGGUAUAUUGGCUGACCAAUUGUUAUUCGUCUCAGCCAAAAUGUUUCUCGUGUAUGUUUGAUGUCAGAUAUAUAAAUGGGCGGCAUACGAGUAUACAAUAGCAUUGCUCAACAAUUUUUGUGCUCUGUAACGGGGAGGACCUAAAUCACCUGUGUUGCUGUGAUGUAUUUGAAGCUUUUAUCCUCGUGUUGUAAAAUGUCCUAACGAAAUCUCGCGUCGCGGCAUGCUGUGAAUCUGAGGGAUUACUGGCUGCAGCUAGUGUUAUGAGCGAGUGCCGUCUACAGGAAUUAUGGGCCCUGCGCAAAAAGCAAAAUGGGGCUGUAAAUUUUGAAAUUGAGUUGAUGCAUUUAGUCAUUCUCUAACGUUUUUCAGCAUUAGAAUCAUACUCUUUAUUUAUAGAAAGCAUAAUUUUUCUGUCUAUGAACCAAA